UCUAAAAAAAUAAUCUAUGCAAUUGAGAUUUAAAUGAAUUAAAAAAUUUUGAUGACGGCAUCUAGCAUGGCGAAGGAAAAUAAGUUGUCUCCAUUGGACCAUUAUUUACAGCCUUUAGAUUGAUCUGAGAAGUAAAAUUUUAUCCUACACCUUAUCCAUCAAAUUCCUUCCCCAACCUUCCACAGCCUCAUGUUUUGUUCCUUUUUCACUUGUUUUCUGGCACUAGAUCCGGAGAUCUCUCCGUGCUACACGCCGUCGAUCUCAAGCCCCCACAUAUUGGUGUUGGGGUUCAGGAUCUGGUCGUCGAUGCCGGAGAAUUCGUCGGCGACGGCAAGCAUGUCGGAGAAUGACGGAAGUGUUGUCGAAGACUCUGGGAGGGAGAGUACAGAGAGGAAGAAAGGAAGACAAAGAUUGGAUGAGGAAUGGUGUACAAUAAAAUUUUGCACCUAGAUUCAUCUGAAGGCUGUAAAUAAUGGUUUAUGGAAGAGCAUUUACUUUGCUUCUCCACGCUAGCCGCCGUCAAUUUUGAUGCAUCGUAUAAGAAAUCAAAUAUUAAGGAAGUGUAUUAGAUUAAGAUUUUAAAAGAAAAUUUUCACAGUUUUUUUAGAUUACAUUUAAAUUGAUGGAAAAACUUAUAAAAUAAAA